rnacentral:rRNA from 1 species
AAUUAGAGCCAAAGUACUUUAAUAUCAUCAGAUCCCAGCUGAACUUGGAAGCUGAGUAUAGACAGCCCUGAUUUGUACUUGGAUGGGUUAUCACCAAAUAGUAUCAGGUAUUGUUGGCU